UUCACGGGAAGUGAAAGAAACAGUGGAUCACCGCCCACCGUAUGUCUGACGAGACGAAGAAGAAGAAGAGAAAGCUACGACAAGCACUCAGAAGAAGACGACCUAGCCGUGGCGGCAUCAACAUCAAUUGGCUAGAGCUGUGACCUGCCGGGGCUACACGUUGGUUCUGUGCCAAAAAGCCUACCUGAAUCAUGGCGGAAAGCGAGAUUUCGUCUAUGUCAUCUGUCGCAUCAGAAGGACAGUCAUCUAUUUCUACAGGACAGCAGGAGGGUA